rnacentral:misc_RNA from 1 species
UUUCCGUAGGUGAACCUGCGGAAGGAUCAUUGUCGAAACCUGCCCAGCAAAACGACCCGCGAACUUGUAUAAACAACCGGGGGCGGGGGGCGUUCUCGCCCCGUGCCCCCGAACGGCGGGGAGACACUCGUGCCUUCUUGCCGAACAACGAACCCCGGCGCGGUCUGCGCCAAGGAACUUCAACUAAAGAGUGCCUCCGGUCGCCUCGGAAACGGCGUGCGUGCCGGGGGCGAAUCUUGUGCAAAACCAUAACGACUCUCGGCAACGGAUAUCUCGGCUCUC